rnacentral:rRNA from 1 species
GUGUCAGCAGCCGCGGUAAUACGUAGGGGGCAAGCGUUGUCCGGAUUUAUUGGGCGUAAAGCGCUCGCAGGCGGCCUGGCCAAGUCGUGCGUGAAAUCUCCCGGCUCAACUGGGAGCGGUCGUGCGAUACUGGUCGGCUCGAGGCCGGUAGGGGGGAGUGGAAUUCCGGGUGUAGUGGUGGAAUGCGUAGAUAUCCGGAGGAACACCAGUGGCGAAGGCGGCUCCCUGGACCGGUCCUGACGCUCAGGAGCGAAAGCGUGGGUAGCGAUCCGGAUUAGAAACCCGCGUAGUCC